GUUCACAUCCUUCAAAGGAUGGAGAAAACUGUGCUCUUCACUAUGGAGUUGUGUGAACAUGGCAAAGAGUGCUAGGGAAGGAAACUAAUUCUCACUUCCAGGCCAGCUGAGCUAGGAGCAUUGAAUAGUAGCCUUGUUACAGACCCCAAGGCCAGACCCAGAAGGAGUAUGACUGGGAUCAUGAAAGCAUGGACCUUGGAGCAUCGGGUUGGCGUCAGAUGGUUCCUGUCACGAUUUGUCACCAAAUACAAAGAAAAUGGCUACCCACUCCAAUAUUCUUGCCUGGAAAAUCCUAUGGACAGAGGAGCCUGGUGGGCUAUAGUCUAUGCGGUCUCCAAGAAUUGGACAAGACUGAGCAACUGAG
rnacentral:lncRNA from 1 species